GGGGCGUGGCUUGCUUCGAGAUGAAACCUGUGUGGGCGUGGUGAUGUCUGCCGGGGGCGUGGUCAGUGGGCUGUGUGGGCGUGGCCGGGGCCGUGGCGCGCCGGGAAGGCGGAAGCGGCUCCCGGGCCCCGAGCGCCGGGACCGGGGGUCCGGAGCGGCCAUGGCCGGGGCCGGCUGGGCCCCGCCGCGCCUCGACGAGUUCAUCCUCACCGAGCCCCUCGGCUCGGGCACCUACGCCACCGUCUACAAGGCCUACAGGAAGAGGGACACGCGUGAGGUGGUGGCCAUCAAGUGUGUCAACAAGAGGAGCCUGAACCGGGCAUCGGUGGAGAACCUGCUGACAGAGAUUGAGAUCCUCAAGACCAUCCGCCAUCCCAACAUUGUGGAGCUCAAGGACUUCCAGUGGGACAGUGACCACAUCUACCUGAUCAUGGAGUUCUGCGCCGGGGGGGACCUUUCCCGCUUCAUCCGGACGCGCCGGAUGCUCCCCGAGAAGGUGGCACGCGUCUUCCUGCAGCAGCUCGCCUGCGCCCUGAAAUUCCUCCACGACCGCAACAUCUCCCACCUGGACCUGAAGCCGCAGAACAUCCUCCUGAGCACCCCGGAGAACCCCCAGCUGAAGCUGGCAGGUCAGGGCAGCCCCUGGCAGGGGCUGGCAGGGAGAAAAUCCCUUCUCCCUGUGCCCCCACGAGCUCUCUGUCCGGCAGAUUUCGGCUUUGCUCAGUACAUGUCCCCGUGGGACGAGAAGCACGUGCUGCGCGGCUCCCCGCUCUACAUGGCCCCCGAGAUGGUGUGUCGGCAGCACUACGACGCCCGCGCGGACCUCUGGUCGGUGGGGGUCAUCCUUUAUGAAGCGCUUUUUGGGAAGCCGCCCUUCGCUUCCCGCUCCUUCGCCGAGCUGGAGGAGAAGAUCCGCAGCGACCGGGCUGUGGAGCUUCCCAGCCGGCCCCAGCUCUCUCAGGAAUGCCGGGAUCUCUUGGGACAGCUGCUGGAGAGGGAUCCUCAGAAGCGCAUCUCCUUCGAGUGCUUCUUUGGGCACCCCUUCGUGGACAUGGAGCACGUCCCUGGCCCCGAGAGCCUGGGCAAGGCGACCGACCUGGUGGUGGAGGCGGUGAGGAAGGAUCAGGAGGGAGAUGCCGGUGCCGCCUUCUCCCUCUACCGCAAAGCCCUGGAGUAUUUUGUGCCAGCACUGCACUACGAGAGCGACGUGCGGCGCAAAGAAGCCAUCCGGGCCAAGGUGAGGCAGUACAUCUCCCGAGCAGAGGAGCUGAAGGUGCUGGUCACCUCCAGCAACAAGAACCUCCUGGAGAAAGGAAACCCAGCCAGAGAGCUCCUUAAAGAGAUGGCCAAGGACAAACCUCGGCUCUGCGCUGCGCUGGAAGUGGCUUCAGCUGCCAUCGCCAAGGAGGAGGAAGGCAGGGAUGACAGUGACGCCCUGGAGCUGUACCAGCAGAGCCUGGGGGAGCUGCUGCUGCUCCUGGCCGGUGAGUUGGGACUGAGGCCGGGCGUUUGGGGCAAGGAUGGGUCCUGCUCCCGUCCCUCAUGCCGUGGCACGUUUCCCCUGCAGCGGAGCCGGCGGGGCGGCGGCGGGAGCUGCUCCACGCGGAGAUCCAGACCCUGAUGGCUCGAGCCGAGUACCUGAAGGAUCAGAUCAAGAUGCGGGAGGCACAAUCCAUGGGCAAAGAGGCGCUGGCAGAGUCCGUCCGGAGCGCCUGUACCUUGCAGUGACUCCCGGGAGCUGCCCCGCGGGACGCUGCUCGCUGCCCUGCCAGGACACACCGGCACCAAGGCGAGCCUUUGGCUUCCGUCCUCCCCACCGGGGUGACACCUGGGGGUCACCCUCGGGCUCGCAGCCCCGGGGGCUCGGCGGGACCAUCUGCCCCUCUCCCAGGCGCUGGCUCAUUUCCCUGCCAGCCCUGCCUCGACCGUCUGCUGCUGCAGCCUCCCGUGCCACAGCGGGCAGGUUAUUCCACUCUAAUUCCCUCCGCUGGCUCCACGGGAAGGGUAUUUUUAUCCUGGCACUAGGCUCUGGCAGGACAUCCCCCCUGCUUUUUUGGCUGGAUGGUUCUUCCACCCCCCAAAUUCUGGGGGAGCCCACAUGGCCCACAAAUCCAGCCGGGAGCUGAGGGUGGGCAGGGAUGCUCCGCUGUGCCUUCCUCGCCCAGCAUCUACCUCUGCAUCCACUGCUGCUCGUCCAGCCUCCAUCCAGCAGCCACUGCACUGGCCCAGCCCAGCCAUACCUCCCUGCCUCUCUCUGCUGGAGCACUGGGAAGGGAAUGAGGCUUUUCCUUCCUGAACCUGGAGCCUGACGGGUACUGGCUGCCUCGUCAGUGUCACGACCGUGAGCAGUGCUCAGCAGGGACCGUGCUGUCGGGCACGAGCAGCAGUCAGUCACCUUCAGGGGGACACUCUCAGCAUCCUGCCUGCCCUGCUCCACUCCUCAGGGCCCUGGCACCCCCAACAUCCAAAUCAUGUUCCCAGGAGUCAUUGUUACGGGGUGCUGAUGUUGCCUGUCCUGCGAAACAAGGUACUUGUCUCAAAAUCUACUGUAUCUCAAGGGAAUGUAAUUUAUUGUCUUUAAUAAACUUUAAUUUUGAUUUC